rnacentral:rRNA from 1 species
UACGAAGGGGGCUAGCGUUGUUCGGAAUCACUGGGCGUAAAGCGCACGUAGGCGGCGCGUUAAGUCAGGGGUGAAAUCCUGGAGCUCAACUCCAGAACUGCCUUUGAUACUGGCGUGCUCGAGUGUGGGAGAGGUUGGUGGAACUCCGAGUGUAGAGGUGAAAUUCGUAGAUAUUCGGAAGAACACCAGUGGAGAAGGCGGCCAACUGGCCCAUUACUGACGCUGAGGUGCGAAAGCUAGGGUAGCAAACGGG